rnacentral:rRNA from 1 species
AUUGAACGCUGGCGGCAUGCCUUACACAUGCAAGUCGAACGGUAACGGGCCUUCGGGUGCCGACGAGUGGCGAACGGGUGAGUAAUACACCGGAACGUGCCCGAUCGUGGGGGAUAACGAGGCGAAAGCUUUGCUAAUACCGCAUACGAUCUACGGAUGAAAGCAGGGGACGGCAAGGCCUUGCGCGGACGGAGCGGCCGAUGGCAGAUUAGGUAGUGGGUGGGAUAAAAGCUUACCAAGCCGACGAUCUGUAGCUGUUCUGAGAGGAUGAUCAGCCACACUGGGACUGAGACACGGCCCAGACUCCUACGGGAGGCAGCAGUGGGGAAUUUUGGGCAAUGGGCGCAAGCCUGAUCCAGCCAUGCCGCGUGCAGGAUGAAGGCCUUCGGGUUGUAAACUGCUUUUGUCCGGAACGAAAAGCCUUCUUUUAAUACAGGAGGGUCAUGACGGUACCGUAAGAAUAAGCACCGGCUAACUACGUG